rnacentral:rRNA from 1 species
GACGAACGCUGGCGGCGUGCCUAAUACAUGCAAGUCGAACGCAGUGGGGACGGGUGAGUAACACGUGGGUAAGCUCCCAUCAGAGGGGAGAACACGUGGUAAGAGGUGCUAAAAAGACAGUGGUGGAAGGACCCGCUGGGCAUUAGCUAGUUGGUAAGGUAGCGGCUGACCAAGGCCAUGAUGCAUAGCCGACCUGAGAGGGGGAUAGGCCACACUGGGACUGAGACACGGCCCAGACUCCUACGGUAGGCAGCAGUAGGGAAUCUUCGGCAAUUGACGAAAGUCUGACCGAGCAACGCCGCGUGAGUGAAGAAGGUUUUCGGAUCGUAAAACUCUGUUGUUAUAGAAGCGGUAUCUAACCAGAAAGCCACGGCUAACUACGUGCCAGCAGCCGCGGUAAUAC